GCCGGGUGUGGUGGUGGGCGCCUGUAAUCCUGGUUACUCAGGAGGCUAAGGCAUAAGAAUCGCUUGAACCCGGGAGGCAGAGGUUGCAGUGAGCCGAGAUUGUGCCACUGCACUCCAGCCUGGGCAACAGAGUGAGACUUUGCCUUUU
ensembl:misc_RNA Metazoa_SRP Metazoan signal recognition particle RNA